AGUGAACGCUGGCGGUAGGCCUAACACAUGCAAGUCGAACGGCAGCACAGUAAGAGCUUGCUCUUACGGGUGGCGAGUGGCGGACGGGUGAGGAAUACAUCGGAAUCUACUUUUUCGUGGGGGAUAACGUAGGGAAACUUACGCUAAUACCGCAUACGACCAACGGGUGAAAGCAGGGGAUCUUCGGACCUUGCGCGAUUGAAUGAGCCGAUGUCGGAUUAGCUAGUUGGCGGGGUAAAGGCCCACCAAGGCCACGAUCCGUAGCUGGUCUGAGAGGAUGAUCCGCCACACUGGAACUGAGACACGGUCCCGACUCCUACGGGAGGCAGCAGUGGGGAAUAUUGGACAAUGGGCGCAAGCCUGAUCCAGCCAUACCGCGUGGGUGAAGAAGGCCUUCGGGUUGUAGAGCCCUUUUGUUGGGAAAGAAAAGCAGCAGGUUAAUACCCCGCUGUUCUGACGGUACCCAAAGAAUAAGCACCGGCUAACUUCGUG
rnacentral:rRNA from 1 species